rnacentral:rRNA from 1 species
ACACAUGCAAGUCGAGGGGCAGCAUGAUUGAAGCUUGCUUCAAUUGAUGGCGACCGGCGCACGGGUGAGUAACGCGUAUCCAACCUUCCGUACACUCAGGGAUAGCCUUUCGAAAGAAAGAUUAAUACCUGAUGGUAUGAUGAGGUUGCAUGAUAGCAUCAUUAAAGAUUUAUCGGUGUACGAUGGGGAUGCGUUCCAUUAGGUAGUAGGCGGGGUAACGGCCCACCUAGCCUACGAUGGAUAGGGGUUCUGAGAGGAAGGUCCCCCACAUUGGAACUGAGACACGGUCCAAACUCCUACGGGAGGCAGCAGUGAGGAAUAUUGGUCAAUGGACGAGAGUCUGAACCAGCCAAGUAGCGUGAAGGAUGAAGGUCUUACGGAUUGUAAACUUCUUUUAUAAGGGAAUAAAACCUCCCACGUGUGGGAGCUUGUAUGUACCUUAUGAAUAAGCAUCGGCUAACUCCGUGCCAGCAGCCGCGGUAAUACGGAGGAUGCGAGCGUUAUCCGGAUUUAUUGGGUUUAAAGGGAGCGCAGACGGGUCGUUAAGUCAGCUGUGAAAGUUUGGGGCUCAACCUUAAAAUUGCAGUUGAUACUGGCGUCCUUGAGUGCGGUUGAGGUGUGCGGAAUUCGUGGUGUAGCGGUGAAAUGCUUAGAUAUCACGAAGAACUCCGAUUGCGAAGGCAGCACACUAAGCCGUAACUGACGUUCAUGCUCGAAAGUGUGGGUAUCAAACAGGAUUAGAUACCCUGGUAGUCCACACGGUAAACGAUGGAUACUCGCUGUUGGCGAUAUACUGUCAGCGGCUUAGCGAAAGCGUUAAGUAUCCCACCUGGGG